rnacentral:rRNA from 1 species
CCAGACUUGACAUGCAGAGGACAGUACCAGAGAUGGUAAAUCCCUUCGGGGUCUCUGCACAGGUGCUGCAUGGCUGUCGUCAGCUCGUGCCGUGAGGUGUUGGGUUAAGUCCCGCAACGAGCGCAACCCUUGUCAUUAGUUGCCAACACGUAAUGGUGGGAACUCUAAUGAGACUGCCUAGGUUAACUAGGAGGAAGGUGAGGAUGACGUCAAGUCCGCAUGGCCCUUAUGUCUGGGGCUACACACGUGCUACAAUGGUCGGUACAGAAGGCAGCGAAGUCGUAAGGCGAAGCAAAUCCGCAAAGCCGACCCCAGUUCAGAUUGUAGUCUGCAACUCGACUACAUGAAGUUGGAAUUGCUAGUAAUGGCGUGUCAGCCACAACGCCGUGAAUACGUUCCC